AUUCCCCACAACCACAACUACCUCGUUGCGAAAUGGCUCUGGAACUCUGUAAAUAUGACUGUGCAUUUGCUUCCUCUUCCAUGUAUCCAUUCCUUUAAUGGUAGGCAUCAGAGGAUGAGAAUAAUGACCAGUAGCGACAACCACUGCAUCAAACACCUCUUCCACCUCCUUAUAAUUUCCAUUGUUUUCCUCUGCUCUGCUCUUCACAGCCCAUUUCAAAUCUUGCUUAAACUGAUCACCAUAAUCCAACAUGCCCACAUACUCUACCCUAGUAUUAAACCUUAUCAUCUCUCUUAACCCAAAGUGAUGACAAAAAUCUUUAAGGUACAACCAAAGUUCCCUAUGCCCAGGAAAUCUCCUCAUGUCUCUACCCUUCUUCACCAAAAAUGGGAAAUCUGUGUAACCCAUG
rnacentral:misc_RNA from 1 species